rnacentral:rRNA from 1 species
UACGGAGGAUCCAAGCGUUAUCCGGAUUUAUUGGGUUUAAAGGGUGCGUAGGCGGUUUUAUAAGUCAGUGCUGAAAUAUCCCGGCUUAACCGGGAGGGUGGCAUUGAUACUGUAGGACUUGAGUAAAGUUGAGGUAGGCGGAAUUGACGGUGUAGCGGUGAAAUGCUUAGAUAUCGUCAAGAACACCGAUAGUGAAGACAGCUUACUAAACUUUAACUGACGCUGAGGCACGAAAGUGUGGGGAUCAAACAGG